UACGUAGGUGACCAGCGUUGUCCGGAUUUACUGGGCGUAAAGAGCGCGCAGGCGGUCGUUUAAGUCGAGUGUGAAAGCCCCCGGCUCAACUGGGGAGGGUCACUCGAUACUGAUAGACUUGAAGGCAGGAGAGGGAAGCGGAAUUCCCGGUGUAGUGGUGAAAUGCGUAGAGAUCGGGAAGAACAUCGGUGGCGAAGGCGGUCUACUGGACCACAACUGACACUCAGGGACGAAAGCGAGGGGAGCGAAUGGG
rnacentral:rRNA from 1 species